rnacentral:lncRNA from 1 species
UUUACCUUAAUUUUAUGUUUUUAUCAAUUCUGUAAUUUAAUUAAGUUUAAUUUACUUUUCAUCAAAACCAAGCACCCAUCCAUUAUUAAAUUAUAUUAUUUAUUUAGUUUUCUUUAUUGUUAGUCUUUUAAUUCAAUUUCCGUCCAUUUCAGUUCCUAGUGUCUAAAUUGAGUGUUUCCAUUAUUUUGAGUCAUUCUAAGUGUGUUUCAAGUUAUUAGAGUUUUUAGCCUAGUUUUGUGUCCUUGAGUCUUAUUUAAUAUUUUUAAAUUAAUUUAGAAUAGAUUAGCAAUCCCUCAUAAUCCCCAGCCUAGAACGAUACCCUACUUACAUCUAUACUACAAUUGUCAAAAAGAGGGUUUAAUUUUGUGUGUUAACUUAUUUUACGCAUCAAAUCCAUAUACAUAUGAUGAGGUAAGUGUAGGCAACGAGGAUAGCCGACAUCGUAUCAUCGUGAGGCUAUUCUUGAACCCCUAUACAAACUAAGCAUGGUGGGAAUAACUUAACUAAGUGCAAUGAAGCCGACAUCGUAUCAUCGUGAGGCAACAUUCUCUAGAGGCCAAACGGAUGGGUAAUUACAAACGUUGUAAAUGAAUAAUGCGUUAUUCUCUCAUCAUUAUUUUUGCUAGCCAAACAUCGUAUCAUCGUGAGGUGGGCUUGGUAAUGGUGAGUCUCCCAUAACCCGCUAAGAGUUCAAUAUAACUCUCGAAUUCUAUUGAGGGAUGUGGAAUUUGCCAAAAAUAGUGGGUGGUACUAUUUGAUUCAAAGACCCAAUCAAAUAGUUUUUAAACAAACAAUCUAAUACGAUUUCUGUUAUGUUAUGUAGUGAACGACAUGCCUAAAAUUAUACCCACC